ensembl:snoRNA
AUCCUUUUGCAAUUCAUAAGCAUGACGAUUGGAUUUUCAUGCACAUGUGUGAGAUGUGCCUCCCACAAAUCUUGUUAUGACUUUGGUACAUUACCCAUCUAACA